GUUUUCAUUGGUACGGAAUUAGCUAGCCCUGGGAAAGACAGUCCCUCCAGAGUUAGCAACACCCCAAGAUGUCAAAGAUAAAAAUGCAAAAAUUAAAACUCCAUGAUUAACACAACUUUGAAGUCCUUCUCACUUGUCUUUAGAUGAAGGGCAACAUCAUUGCAACAAGUCACACUUUGAGAACUCAAGAGAAUAUGUUUGUUCUGAAAAUCCAGGAAUUAUUGCCAACCCAUGGUUGUCUCCAUAUGUCUUGGGAAAAAUAGGAAAAGGAUUUUUUGAGUUGGUGAUUUGAAUCCAAGACACAAAGAUUCAGGCUCUGGUAAAAAGAUUGUAUAGGCUAUAUUGGCUGACAUAAAAGAGACAUAAAAGGCACACAAUGAAAUCUUAAUAAAUGUAUUGGAUGUUGCAGCAUUAACUGAUGAGCCAGACAAUGUAAAGACCUCAGACUACCAAAUGUUUUGAAAGACGAAUAGUGAAUGUGAAACUGUGAACCAAAAUAGAUUUUUAGAAUCCUUGAAAAAAUAGAGCUAGAGAAAGUCUUUGAGACCAUUGAUUGCAAAUAUUUGAGUUUACAACUGAGCAAAUGGAGAAAAGAGAAGUGACUCGUCAGUCCAACAAGUGGCAGAAUCAGAACCAGACCCCAAUGCUUGGGUCUUCUGUCCCUCCUGGCACCAAAGUCACCUAUCAUAAGUAACUUGAGUUUCAGAGGGGAAGGAAAAGACUACAAUGUCCCAGCACUGUUCCAGACACUUUUUAGGGGACUCCAAGACACCUUGUGUAAUGCCUAUUUUAAGUAGCUGGAAGAUUCUAUAGCAUGGGAAAAGCCCACUGAAGGCAAAAGUAAACAUUACCUAUUGUGGUCCUGGAAAAGAAAAUCAUCUCUCAUUUAUCUCCUGGAGCUGUUUGACGAACUUGUGCCCUGGUUUUACUUUGGGAGCCACCUUUCUCUUUCAGGUGCUGUCUCAGUGGAAUAGUCAACCAAUGUAUCCUACAUUUUGGACCAGCAGAAGGAAGUAAUGAGAACAGAAAACAAAUAAGAAGUGAGUUGGAGGGAGAAGGAGACUUUAGCAUCUUCCUGAAAUCAGGAAGAAAGUUUCAAGAAUAAAGUAAUCCAUAGGGUCAAAUACUGCAGUAAGUUUAAUUAGGAUGAAGACUGCAAAGAUGGUAUUAGUUUGGUACUUAGGACAUUGGUGACCUCCACAGGUGACUUUCAGGAGAAUUAUCUGGGGAACUUGUUGAUAGAAUUUGUGAAUCUCCACCUUUAGGGAUUCUGAUUUAGAAGGAGUAGGAAGAAGGCCUUAGGAUCUCCAUUUAUAACAACCACUACUGAUUAUUUUGAGGCAGGUAGCAUACAGACCACAUUUGAAAGAAACACUAGGUAAGUGUGAUUUUCAUUCAAAGGACAAAAAACAUAAAGUUACCUAAUUCAGGGACCAUUUCAAAGACCAAAUCAAAUCAGUAGCCUGGCUGAUCUGAUCGACUGCGCAGAAACUAGCCAUUACCAUGGCAAAGUGGGGAGGAACAGUCAAUAAAAAGCAAUUGAUGGCCAGGCGCGGUGGCUCACGCCUGUAAUCCCAGCACUUUGGGAGGCCAAGGCGG
rnacentral:lncRNA from 1 species